CCCAGUGACUUUAUUCAACGGCCGCGGUAUCCUAACCGUGCGAAGGUAGCGUAAUCACUUGUUCUUUAAAUGAGGACUAGUAUGAAUGGCCCCACGAGGGCUGCACUGUCUCCUUUUUCUAAUCAAUGAAACUAAUCUCCCCGUGAAGAAGCGGGGAUAAUUCUAUAAGACGAGAAGACCCUAUGGAGCUUUAAACAACUGAAACACUUGCUUUUUCCAUUAACCUCUUCCGAGUUCUUUACUUCACUCAAGCAUUUUUAUUUCUAGUUUUAGGUUGGGGUGACCACGGAGCAAAACUAAACCUCCACGAAGAAAUGAAUACUUUUUAAGCCACAAACUACUUUUUUAAGCAUCAACAAAUUGACCUUCAUUGACCCAAUAUAUUGAUCAACGAACCAAGUUACCCUAGGGAUAACAGCGCAAUCUACUUCAAGAGCUCGUAUCGACAAGUAGGUUUACGACCUCGAUGUUGGAUCAGGGUAUCCUAGUGGUGCAGCCGCUACUGAUGGUUCGUUUGUU
rnacentral:rRNA from 1 species